GCUUGCUAUCCAUGUGCCAGAGCCAUGAGUUGGUUGCGAGAUCUUAUGGGUUUCACCUCUAGCCUACCCCAACUUGUUUGGGACUAAAGGCUUUGUUGUUGUUGUUGUUGUUGUUGUAUGUCAUCUCUCACAUGGCUAUGUGGUCUCCCCGGUUUUGUCUUUACAUUAUAUCUAUGUUGUACUACUGCUACCUCCCGCGCUACAGAAAGUAUUUUUUAUAUCAGCUUUGCUCUCGUGUGUGCAAGGAUUCCAUUCAGGCGUUCAAGACCUAGCAGGGCUUGGCCAACCGGCCCUUCGUGUUUGAAGAUCCCUGACACCCCAUGCUACCAGCCGGGCAUCUUCUUCCUGAGCCAUGUCCGGAACCAGACCAGCAGGGGCACCAUGAGCGAGUACUCAAGGCAUGUCGUCAGGUCGGAGGGGUACAACCAGGCCAGCUGCCGUGUGUGUCCACGGUUCAUACAGUCAAGGUGUUCGCUCAUCUCCCAAGAUGAGCCAGAACGAGCAUUACAAGAUGAACCCCCCAUAUUUUCCAUUCCUUGAUAAAUGGUCUAUAGGUGCACUUUUCCUAUUUGGGUUCAGAAGAUCACAGUCUAUAGGUGCUUGCUGAAUUCUAACCCUGUGCAAUCACAAAGCAUUUUAUCUUA